GAAGUGGAGCAAAACUCAAAAACCGGUACCCACGUUCGGACUGCAGGCUGAAACUCGCCUGCACGAAGUUGGAGUUGCUAGUAAUCGCAGAUCAGAAUGCUGCGGUGAAUGCGUUCCCGGGUCUUGUACACACCGCCCGUCACACCAUGGAAGUUGGGGGUGCCCAAAGUCGGUUAGAAAAUAGACUGCCUAAGGCAAAACCAAUGACUGGGGUGAAGUCGUAACAAGGUAUC
rnacentral:rRNA from 1 species